UGUGGAGAAGAGCAGGUUUUGUUUCAUUUCUGGGGAAAAAAGCAACACUUCUGUACAGCUAAAAGUAAAGCAUGUUUUUGUCUUCAGUGCAUCUGAAUGACCGUUAGUGGCUGAUCAUCAAGAACAACAUACUGGAUAUCCUGGUACACACGUCACAGAUCCCACGGCAUGCCGCAGCACAGGCAGAUAUUGCAAGUCCAUUGCUCAACUCGGCUAGGAACGAGGACACGUCAGUGCUCUGAGAUCUGCGGCGGAACAAUGCGCGCCUCCGUGCAAUAUGUCCUCCAAGCCGCAUCCUGUUGGGAGUGCUGACCGACAUGUGUUCCUGUGUUGGAAUGGGACACGGCGCAGUUCUGGCCAGCUCUUUCGAGGCCAUAUGGGAUGCUGGCUCAGAGAGACAGUGCGGCAAAACUCUAAUGAGCAUGGCAAGCUGAAUCUGCACACGAAUGAUAUUAGUGCUGCAGACUUAAAUAACAAAAAAAGGGGAUGUAUAGGGGACAUGAGUCUAAAAAAAAUGUGCAAACACAUCCCUGCAUGGUCACACCAUGCUGCCCCUGCAUGCUCACCCCAUGCCUAUCACUCCAUCAACACACACCUACACAAAACCCACAUGCCCACACACUGCAAAAGGCCCACACACACUGGGCUUUGGCAUUGAUGCUGUAGGACAGAGAUCACAGGGUUUUGCGCUUACACCAGGAGGCUUUCCUGUCCUCUUGUGUCGCAAAUAAUGUCAAGCUAUCACACUUCCUCUGAAACAUUCUCAAUAUUCUCUGAAGCUUUUCUUGGACAGCUACAGCUUCUUAUCCUACAGGGUUUUCGAAACGUUUGAAGGCAUUUGUAUGCUUCCAUACUUAGGAGCUUCUAAGCUCUAAGUUCUGUUGAAUAUUCUCUCCUCAAUAUCAAUUCAUUUUCCACGCACCUAUUCUGACAGAUUACCAUGUUAACACGCCGCUGUCAUCUUAAAACUGAUGGAAGACGUGCUCUAAUUAAUGAAUUAAUACAUUCACGUCACAUGACAUCAAUCUGCACGCUGAUGUCUUACCUAAACUGCUCUCACUAAUUCAGCAUGUUUUAUUAAGAUAUUUUGUAAGCACUCUACAACCUCGCUAUCAAACCGGCUACAUCCGGACCGCAGACGAACGAGCUGGCCCGCGUCUAAAGGUACUGCCAGCCUGCCUGGGGUAAUACAUCACGAAUUCUGUAAGGACAAUACGAAGAUGCUGAAAGCGGGUACAAAUGCAUCGCAGUUGCACAGUGAGCACUUUGUUCCAAAUAAUGUUGUCAUCAAUUUUCAUCUUUUGUUUAAACAUAUUAGUCUUUUGGACAAGAUAGGUCAUAUUUCAGCAGCUUGAUAAAUUCUUCCUUCUAGACUUUCUCACAGAACGUGCACUUAAUUAAUUACACAACCUUUAAUUGGACAGAUUAUUCCUAAUGGUUGUUGCAGUGCUAAAUGUACAAUCUUGCAGCAGGCUCAGGAGUCAUUAUUUUAAUGCCACUUUCUCGGCUGGUUGUAAUCAGUAUAUUUCAAAUAAUAAAUCAGCUUCACAUUGUGAGAAAUAUUUGCCCCUAAAAUAGAUAAAUUGCAUGCAGAUUUCAGUAGGGAUAACUUUCCCCUAUUUUCCUGCACCUAUAUUGCCCCCUUUACACUUGCACAUGUAGUGCUUUAUUAAGGGCAGAUCUAAUUUCUUUCUUUCUUUUUUUUGCAGCUUUAUGAUGUCUGCAGGCAUUUGGGUGUUUAAUUAGGGUGGUAAUGUCCGGUGAUGUACAUGAUGGAUUUUAACGGAAGCCAACUUUAACUAUCCGAGGCAAUGCCAUAAAUUAUCACCUUGGCUAUAAUGCUUGUGUGAGUUUGUUUAAUUAGGAUGUCCACCGGAGGAAGCGCCUGGGUGUUGCUGGGUUUGCACAGGAAAUGCCAAUUACGUGAACACUGUGUGCUUUUACAUUCCACUAAAGAAUUUCAGUGAGUAAUAAUAAAGCACUAAAAAGAGUCUGAUUAUAGUGCAUGCAUGGACUGGGUUUUUAUGCUUUUCUUUGCUUUUUUGUUCUAAAUAUUAUAUUAGAUAUUAAUCAUACAUACAUUUAGAUUUACUUGAAUCAUUUGCCAGAUUUCUUUGUCCAGAGCAACCUACAGAAGCUUAAAAUAAUAAAAGCACUUAACUGGAAAAGGAAAAGAAAAGCUGUGUAUAUAACCAGUAUACAGUGUAUACAGUCUGUAUAGCUGGAUGUGUAUUACAGGAAAUUGUUAAUAUGCAACGGUAAUAUGAUUAUCUGCUUCUCUGUGUUGUCUCAUAAAAGUGUUUACAGGUAAGAAAAAUGUAUUAAAGGAGAAAUUGAAAGCUCCUUUAGAAUAACACUAU